CCGAGUCUGUACACACCCUCUAUGAGCGCCGUCGACGAUAAAUGAUAUGGUGGCUCGGGCUGCACGCCGCAGUGGGUACUUUAUUGUACCAUCAUAUGCAUUGCAUCGCAUCCCUGCAUUUGCAUCACAUAUAUAUAUUGUUGUUCAGUUGCAGAUACUGUUAUACACUGUUUUAGCUUAGUUUGUGUAAUUAUUGAGUUUUCUUGCUUUCGGAGCUUUAUUUACUAUUAUUACUCGCUGAGUUGGUAGUCUAACCCCCAACUCCAUGCACCUUGUGUGCAAAUUCAAGUAUUUCAUAGAAUUUUGCGCGUGCGAUUGCCGAUUAUUACUUUGACAGAGUCUUGAGGUAGCUGCUAGCGUCCGCAGGACCCAUGACUCUGAUCUUCUAGUUAUUUUCUAGUUAUUCUGACACUUGUCUUUCCCUGAUUCUGACAUGUAUUCAAUAUUUUUAGAGGCUCUAAAACUCGUGACCCCAGAUCUUUGGGGAAGUUAUGUUGUUCAGUGAGAUUUUCGGGAUACUUUUAUAACUAACAGUUUAUUUUGGCUUCCUUCACUAUUAAUGGCUUAUAAUAAAUGGUUUAUGAACUCUAAGCUCGGGUUAAGAGCACAUUUGGUCGGGCUUGCCUAGCCGUUAGGUUGGGCGCCAUCACGGCCGAAUUUGGGGUCGUGACAAAUCUAGCAUUUUAAAUUUUUUAUGAGUUCUAAGCUCGUGUUGAGAGCACAUUUGGUCGGGCUUGCCUAGCCGUUGGGUUGGGCACCAUCACGACCGUGUUUGGGGUUGUGACAUAAAUAUUAUUAAAGUGCACAUCUAAAGCAAUACGCGAUUUGGCUUCGCGAGGGCCAUGUACAUUCUGCUAAAUGGCACGCCUCGAGUUCUAAGUAUUUCAAAGGAAUUAAAUAAGGGCCACACAUUUAAGGUUUUAUUUGGUGCGACGCAUCUCAAUUUAUUUCAAAAAAGGCCACACAUUUGAGGUAUUAUUUGGUGCGUCGCAUCUCAAUUACUAGACUACUUGCCGCCUGUUUUAGGAUUAUGUUUAGAUUUAAGAAGCUUUGAAUUAUAAUACAUGUCAAACAAUUGCAACUUCUGAAAUAGCUAGACUUCCAGUGAAUAUAAAGAUCAAAUAUCCACGCUCAAGAAUGUUCAGAAAACAAAAGAUGCAAUUAACAAAGAAAUCUCCACCCCUAAUUACAUGAUUCACCUCAAAAUGGCUUCACAAACAAACUUCCAACACUUUAACCUUCACAUCCCAAACAAGAAUGAAGUUUCGAGAUACAGAUAUAAUAACUAAAACAACAUACAAACAUGCACCUUAAUCCAAUGAUUAUGAAGGACUGUCAGUAUGUGAUUCAUAUAUAGACCAGGAAUUUUUAUCUCGUAAAAGUAAUUACAUGAGUUAUCAUUAUUUUUCUAACUACCACAAUGACUUUAAACAUGCCGAAUCUGGGACAGAUUCCAAAAAUCAAUUAUAAACAUAUUCUUAACCAAAACAAUUUCAUUACCUUUGUUGGUAACAUAGAGUCAUAUCAGAUUUACUAAUUAACUGAGUGACAGUUAACAAUUCAAUACUAAAAGCGGUGUACUUAAAUCAACUGAUUAUUAACAAGUUAGCAUGACUGAAAGGCAUUUAAAUAUAAUAGUCGACUAAUCAAGUGCAAAAACAUUACCCAAACAACGGAUCAAAUUUCUUCAGGAAACUAGUAUUUUUCAUUUAAGUAAUAAAUGUGAGUUCAUAAACAUGUACCUAAUGCAGAGGAAGAGAUGGCUCUGAUUUUUGCUGAAGAGGAAGGAGAAACAAUUAUGGAGUUCAGGGAUUUAGUUCCAUUUUUGUAUGGGGAGGAGGUCCUUCGGUUGAAAUCAAGAGGAGAAGAUGCAUAAAAACUGGGGAGAAGCUGCGCUUAUCCUUGCUUGGGUAAAAAAAAAUCCGUCCC
rnacentral:lncRNA from 1 species